UGUGACAUACCUAAAACGUUGCUUCGGCGGGAACAGACGGCCCUGUAACAACGGGCCGCCCCCGCCAGAGGACCCCUAACUCUGUUUUUAUAAUGUUUUUCUGAGUAAACAAGCAAAUAAAUUAAAACUUUCAACAACGGAUCUCUUGGCUCUGGCAUCGAUGAAGAACGCAGCGAAAUGCGAUAAGUAAUGUGAAUUGCAGAAUUCAGUGAAUCAUCGAAUCUUUGAACGCACAUUGCGCCCGCCAGUAUUCUGGCGGGCAUGCCUGUUCGAGCGUCAUUACAACCCUCAGGCCCCCGGGCCUGGCGUUGGGGAUCGGCGGAAGCCCCCUGUGGGCACACGCCGUCCCUCAAAUACAGUGGCGGUCCCGCCGCAGCUUCCAUUGCGUAGUAGCUAACACCUCGCAACUGGAGAGCGGCGCGGCCAUGCCGUAAAACACCCAACUUCUGAAUGUUGACCUCGAAUCAGGUAGGAAUACCCGCUGAACUUAAGCAUAUCAAAA
rnacentral:rRNA from 1 species